rnacentral:rRNA from 2 species
UGAUCCCAUCCCGAACUCAGUAGUGAAACGAUGUAUCGCCGAUGGUAGUGUGGGGUUUCCCCAUGUGAGAGUAGGUCAUCGUCAAGA